rnacentral:rRNA from 1 species
AUUGAACGCUGGCGGCAGGCCUAACACAUGCAAGUCGAGCGAGCGGCGGACGGGAGACUAAUGCCUGGGAAUUGCCCAGUCGAGGGGGAAAACCGUUGGAAACAACUGAUAAUACCGCAAACGCUCGGAUUGCCCAGGUGGGAUUAGCUAGUUGGUGGGGGAGUGGCUCCCCAAGGCGACGAUCCCUAGCUGGUCUGAGAGGAUGAUCAGCCACACUGGAACUGAGACACGGUCCAGACUCCUACGGGAGGCAGCAGUGGGGAAUAUUGCACAAUGGGGGAAACCCUGAUGCAGCCAUGCCGCGUGUGUGAAGAAGGCCUUCGGGUUGUAAAGCACUUUCAGCGAGGAGGCGUUACUCGCAGAAGAAGCACCGGCUAACUCCGUGCCAGCAGCCGCGGUAAUUC